GUUAGCACGUUUUUCCAUACAAAAAAAAUCUGAAAUUUGCCAUGAGAUUUUUGUGAAAUUUUCAAAAACCGGUUUUCGCAUACAAACGCAUGCUUUUUAAUUGAACUGUCAGCCAACUAUUGAGCGUUGAACUGUUGAAUUAUGACUGUAAUCACAUUUCUUCACGCGAAAAACGAGCCAUGCCAUAGGCUUAUUGUUAUACUAAUUUGAAUUCAGCUACUCCAUAUCCAUUUUAUACGAUACGAUUUUAUUAUUUUUAAGUGCAAUCUAAAACCUUCUAUUGAUUCUGGACAAUGUUCUACCCAUCCAAGGGUUAACAAUGUCCGUUUGCAAGAGACGCGCACAGCAGCUUGUGUAACUUUCAAGUGGAAGGCGGUACAGUUGACUGCAUCUCUUUCGCUCGCGUACCUUUUCCCGCUUCUAUCUAUCUCACCACUCGGAUCUUUUUUUUUCUCUCUCCUCCUACCCCAUGGAGCGAUGGAAUAGUAGGCUGGCUGGCUGCAAUCAUCAUCAUCAUUAUCAUUUAUGUUUCCUCGCACAGUUGCGGUGAUUGCAGCCCUUGUGUGCUCUCUUCUGUGUGCGUGCGCGUUUGGGGUGGGUUUUUGUCUUCCUUAUUCGUCCACUGCCAUUCGUUAUACACCACACCUUCGAAUCGAGCGAGGUGUUGUAAAACUUUACGACUGUGUGAAACGUAAAAUCAAAAGUGUGUGGCCAGCGUAAUAAAAAUGAACCGACUAUGUGGUGCGGUUAUACAAAUUAAUGGGGUUUGAGUCUGCAAUCGUGUCAUAAAACCACUUUGUUUAUUACAGUUUUAUGAUUUACGUUUUAAAAAUAUUAAAUCAAAAGGCACUUAAAUGACACAUAGAGUGGAAGAUAGUGAGCCGGACUGAAUCAGUAGGAUGGAAAAAUGUACCAGUGUCAACUAUUCAGUGACAAUUAUCAUCCCUUAUUUGAUAAACUUUCGACACUUAGACAAAGCUCAACCCUCAACUUCAGCUCAGCACACAGGGCGUACCCGUUUCGGGCGCGUGUGCCCGCCUGAUUACCGCCCGAAUCCAACUGGCAGCUCGUAAAGCCAAUUCGAAGCGGCCGAGCGAUAACAGACAGCCGGACGACGACGACAACGCACAAUCGUAACCACAAGGGUUGUGACUUUUUUUCGUGCCUCUCUUUGGAUCCUCCCCUACCUAUCCCCUGUAUUGUGUAUUUUGCCUUUUACGCAAACGACAAAUCCGGACUACGGGGUACGGAGACAACUCGCCGGAUGACGUAGCGAAUGGUGACCACCUUUCUUGCGUGGCAAUGGGAUUGCUUUGCGGAGAAAAAUUGCCACGAACCGGGGUUAAUUUUUUCCACCCCCUUUGGGCUCGGCCCGUCCGGCGAUACGCGUGCGGCAGUAGUCUACCAUCAGACAUGUCUGUUUUGUGGCCACGGCCCCCUUAAUAUGUGGGCGUGUAUCGAACGGCGACCGAAUUGAGGCAGUCCCACUUUGCUUUGAAGAGUAACAGGCGAACAGGGUCUCGUGGCGGCAACCCGAGCGUAGCCCGAACAGCACAACAGAUACCCGCGCCACUUUUCAUUCGUCUGUGCUUGCUAUGAUUUGGAAGGUUGAUACGGAGGGGUGGUUUUUAUGAACACUAAUCUACCUAGAAUGGUGGGGCAUGCUUUACAAUGGUAGUUAAGUUGUGUUGUACUAUUUACAAUUUACAAUUGUAUUACUUUAAAUCCAUUGAAGUGCAAAAUCAAAAUGCAAAAACUGGCCAAAAUAAGCUGAUUGGCAGAGUAGCGAACUUAGCCAACGUGUUAUUCGAAUUGAAUGAUCAUUAAAUAUUGUUUGUAAAACGAUGUAAAAGUAAUCAAAAACGGCAAUUAUAUCAAGUAUCAAACAGAUAUUACAAACAAUUCGUUAACUUUUCCAUGCCAUUUCAUUUGACCCUAAAAUGAAUUAUUCCAUUUCAAUCUCGUCAUGUCGUGUCAUGUGGUCCAUGUAGCUGUUUGUUUAACGGUCCUACAAUUAAUACAAAGAACCCUUAGCAGGAGGUAUAACACAAGAAAUUCAAACAGACACCACAUUUUCCAUACCAAUCCGACCGGCGACCAACCAGAUGUGUUUUGUUUCCUCCUCCUCUCCUUUUAAGCCACCAAUCCCUCGUUUCUCGCUACAUAGUAUCGUUCCCCUCUGCCUGCGUCACCGAAACAUAGAAAAGAAACCCGAAAAGCAUUGCACUCUUCUGACUGCGCAUGAUCCGUACCGCGCAAUGAUAUUUCUAUUCAACAUUUUGGCGCGAAACGGAUGGAAAACUCACGACGAUUUUUCACAUGUGUCUUCGUGUCCUGUGUGUGCUAUGUGUAAAGGCAACCCACCCGUCAGCAUGGGCGCCGCGGCAUAAAGGAAUCGAUGGAAAAUUCUCUCUUGAAACAAACAGCGCCUCCGCGCAAAAGACACGGGAACAGGAACCGAUAUCCCGCGCCAGCACAGCCCGGGUCCAGGAAAAUCUUUUCCUUUCGUUCGAUCACACAUGCUCGUACGCCUUCGCCAUCGGGAGAAAAAUAGCAAGUUUUCCAUCAGUCAAUAGCUUUCCGUUAAAUGCUACCAACCGAGCAGGAAUGUCAGGAGCGCGAUCUGAUUUCCACCCUAUAUACGCUCAAAAAGGAUCAACAAGUGGUUCUUCCCGACACACUGGGAGGGGUUGGUUAUUUUAAGAGUAUAUCGAGCGAACUCUAGGCGAGUGCCGGAGUGGCAGGGAUUAGCCGGGUGACAGUGUGAGUCACUAUGUGGUACGAUACCAUCACCCUCCUAAUGCGCAUGAGCACGAAAUUGACACCGCGUACGAACGCACGAUAGGCAGAGGGGUACCGUUGGGCCUUCAACAUUCGUUACAAGUCCCUUUUUCACCCUAGCAGUAUAACACCCCAAGGACAUGCGCGGUAUCGUGGAAGCAUCUGUUUUUACCCAAACCAACACGAACCGCUUGCCACACUCGCAGGACAUAUUGUAGCUGUUCAGUCUCUCUCACGCACCACACCGUCUCUAGCAUAAUGGGAAACAGCAUAAAGGAUACGUUACCUACAAGAGUGAAAGGGAAACCAUCUAGCAAGCCAGCCCAGCACACAUUAUUUAAAAUAAGAACUUUUUUUACGAUUAUUACAUGUGAUACUAUAAACUGAACUGUGUUUUAUUGGUUUUUAACGGCUUUCCAGUGUACAUUCAAAGUCUCUUUCGAGCGUAUACUUCGAGGAAGUUUUAUUACAUCGACCAUUUGAGGGUUUAAACCCCGUCCUAAUGGUCCCAGUUGUUUACUGUAUUUCCUUCGUUGACCGAAGCAGCCGUCACAUUAAAUUCUAGUUUGGUGAUUUUAUAUUGCUUCAAUUCGUGGAAAAAGGCUGCCGCUGUACUAUCGGAGAUAGGGAAUUUAAAUUUCAACACUCGAUCCUGACUGGAACCGUCUGUGUGGCCUUCACCGUGGCACACCGAUUGUAGUGCGGUCUACUAGGCUAGCAUGGCUCGAUGAAAGAGAGUCACCCCCGAGGGUAUCGUCUGACCAGCCAAGGAGCUGGUAGGCCGAUACGAAGAAGGUGGCACAAGUUGCGCGUUCUGCUGUGACGAUGACCAAAAUGUAUCUUCGUUUUGCCUGCCUCACAACGUAUUCUUCUCCGCCUCCUUGUUCCGCUCUUGCUGGCAUCACCGACUCACGUGGGACAUACGACCAGAGAGUGGGCAGUUCGGUUUCCACGAGACAAAACUCCGCUUCUUUGGUUAUUUUUACUGAAGACGCAAUGGCGGCGGAAUGGUGGUGAUGUGUUCCAGCCUCGUCUUAAGUGUCGAGGGACAGGAAAACAGAUCGAUACUCACAAACCGUUGACUGCGCAAAACCCGACUUCCCGUAGCCGAGCCGACGUCUGUUGCAGGAGGGUAAAUAUCUUGGAAAAGACAUUUUCCACAGUGCUUCGUAUUAUGCUUGCCAGAAGUAUGUAAAGUAUCGAUGGAGUAGGAUGCGCUUUACGUUCUUUAAUGCCCCAAUGUAACAUAUUAAAAAGCUUUACAUCUGCUUUAAACCAAAACCUAGUCAUCAAUCUCGCCUGCAACGUCUUGAACCAUUUUCCCGUCAUUAUCAAUUAAUGGAAAUUGCAUCGCGUUAAAUCCAUGAAUGAAAGGAAAAGUAAACAUAAACCCGCAUUUACUACAAUAAACAGACUAAAUCACGUUUUCAUAGCAAUCAAAAAGAAAAGGAAGGAAAGCGAAUCGAUCACAUAAACGGGUAGCAGAUAUUAAACAGACGAUGUACAACAUGAAGCAAUAAAAAGCGAAAUGGGUCAAACCAUGAAACAGCAAUGGUAAAGAGCGAGGCAAAGGAAAGCUUAAAAACCAUUACUUUCCAUCCCCUAUCACAAUAUGUUCUUCGGUUUCGCUAUUUCACUCGCAUACACACACCCAUUUGCUCCCAUCUCUAUCUCUAUUGUCGUAAGUCG